AUUACCCGGCAAUGUACAAAAUAUUUGAUAUGAUAAUGUUAUAACAAUAAUAACACUAUAUGUACGCUUUACUUUGUUUCGUAGCAACGAGUUAUCACGCAAACAAUAUGGUAAAACCGUAUGAAUAUAACGUGUGGGUAUCUAAAACACACUCGUAAACGAGGACAGACGUAUAGAAAAAUAAUAAUAAUAUUAUACCGAUGCAUGCGAUUACAAAAUAAUAAUCAUAUUUUUAUUGAAACGUUACUUAACAUUGCAUUCACGCUGAACGUAAAUUCGGUUUUACACACGCGCUUAUAACUUUAUGUGACCUGUAACUACACCCGACGAGGACGUCUAACACUGAACGCACAGGCCUGGAGAAUCGUUAAAGCAAACGAAUAAAUCAAGCGACGAAUAUCUGAUGCCGCAACGUUGUUCAGCUUAUAUCGUAUUUUAUGGGCACACCAUCCUGUCAACCAUGUUCGUAUUUUCACACUUGGUGUAGGAUUUACACUAUAGACUAUGGCCAUUCUACACCUUACAGUAUUUUGGUAUAGGGUAUGUCAUCGAUAUUAUGCGAAAAAAAAGUUCAUUGACCGGUGAAUGACGGAAUAUUCGAAAUUACCAAUGUAAAGUCGAGAUUUGAAUAAUAACUCUAUUUAAGUCGAAUGGAUUGAAGUCGGAGAGGUUUGCGCAAUAGCACGUGGUACGCACACGUAGAUAUAUAAACUGCUUUGAACUGUGCGUACACGCCGGAGCGAAUUGAAAGGUUCACCGUACGCAAUAAUAAAAUAACGCUGAUGAAAAAAUAUAAAACUUAGUUUUUAUGGUGUACUGCGUGAGCAUAUUAUAUAUAUCGGUCUGUAUUGUCGUCGGAUCUUUUAAAUAUAUAUAUAUAUAUAUAUGGACAGCAUAUACGCGUAUAGAGGACCCUUCGAUUCCAGAGGACAUAAAACACGACUGUAGCUCUGCCAAAAUAACCGUAGCCAUACAAGCUUAAUUGACUCAAGUGGUCGUAAAAUUAAGCCCAUCAAAUAUGUCGUCAACCGGCAUCUGGGUUUCGACGGCCUCGGCCGGCCAGAACAAUAAAAACGGCGUUCUUUUUAAUUUUAAAAAUCACACGAUAAACGC